UACAGAGGGUGCGAGCGUUAAUCGGAAUUACUGGGCGUAAAGCGCGCGUAGGCGGCUUUGCAAGUCGGGUGUGAAAGUCCCCAGGCUUCAACCUGGGAACUACGCGAUUCGAGAUCUGCAUUGCUAGAGUAUGGGAGAGGGAAGUGGAAUUUCCGGUGUAGCGGUGAAAUGCGUAGAUAUCGGAAGGAACAUCAGUGGCGAAAGCGACUUCCUGGACCAAUACUGACGCUCAUGUGCGAAAAGCGUGGGGAGCAACAGG
rnacentral:rRNA from 1 species